GUCUAUGGCCAUACCUAGGCGAAAACACCAGUUCCCGUUCAAUCACUGCAGUUAAGUGAAAACGUCUGAUGGCCUCGUUCGUACUAUGGUUGGAGACAACAUAGGAAUCCAAGGUGCUGUAGGCU
rfam:Schizosaccharomyces cryophilus OY26 unplaced genomic scaffold supercont4.6, whole genome shotgun sequence.